AGAGUUUGAUCCUGGCUCAGGAUGAACGCUAGCGGUGUGCCUAAAGCAUGCAAGUCGAGCGAAGAAUAUCUAAUAGCAAUAUUGGAUAUUCUUAGCGGCGAACGGGUGAGUAAUGCAUAGAUAACUUCCCUUAAACAUGAGGAUAGCCUACUGAAAAGUAGGAUAAUACUCAGUAAUAUUAAUAUUUGUAAUAGUAUUAAUUAAAGCUAAGCAAUUGGCGGUUUGAGAAAGGUCUAUGUUCUAUCAGCUUGUUGGUGGGGUAAAGGCCUACCAAGGCUAUGACGGAUAGCUGGUCUGAGAGGAUGAUCAGCCACAUUGGGACUGCGACACGGCCCAAACUCCUACGGGAGGCAGCAACUAGGAAUCUUGCACAAUGGGGGAAACCCUGAUGCAGCGACACCGCGUGAAGGAUGACGGCCUUCGGGUUGUAAACUUCUUUUAGUAGGGAAAAUAAUGAUGGUACCUAUUGAAUAAGCAGCUGCUAACUACGUGCCAGCAGCAGCGGUAAUACGUAGGCUGCGAGCGUUAUCCGGAAUUACUGGGCGUAAAGAGAUGCGUAGGCGUCUGAAUUAGUCUUUAAUUAAAGGCACAAGCUCACUUGUGUAUGGUUAGGGAAACUGUUUGGAUUGAGGGAGACAGGGAAGAUGGAACUUCUGGUGGAGUAGUGAAAUGCGUUGAUAUCAGAAGGAACACCAAAGCGAAGGCAUCUUCUAGGUCUUUUCUGACGCUAAUGCUCGAAGCGUGGGUAGCAAACGGAUUAGAUACCCGUGUAGUCACGCCGUAAACGAUGGAUGCUAGAUAUUUGUAUUGGUAGGAUUUAUCCUAUAAAUAUGAGUGUCGCAGCUAACGCAAUAAGCAUCCCGCCUGGGGAGUACGACCGCAAGGUUAAAACUCAAAGGAAUUGACGGGGACCCGCACAAGCAGUGGAUCGCGUGGUUUAAUUCGAUGCUAAUCGUAAAACCUUACCAGGGUUUGACAUGUUAGAGAAUCCGCCUGAAAGGGUGGAGUGCCGCAAGGAGCUCUUUCACAGGUUCUGCAUGGCUGUCGUCAGCUCGUGUCGUGAGAUGUUGGGUUAAGUCCCGCAACGAGCGCAACCUUUAUCUGGUGUUAUAUAUUUCUCCAGAAACUGCACCGUUACAACGGUGAGGAAGGUGAAGAUGAUGUCUAGUCAUCAUAGACCUUAUGUCCUGGGCAACACACGCGAUACAAUGGGAAAGACAACGAGUUGCAACAUCGUAAGGUGAAGCUAAUCUCUUAAACUUUUUCUCAGUUCGGAUUGAGGGCUGCAAUUUGCCCUCAUGAAGUCGGAAUUGCUAGUAAUCGCGGAUCAGCAUGCCGCGGUGAAUACGUUCUCGGGUCUUGUACACACCGCCCGUCAGGUCAUGAAAGUUAGUAGUAUCUGAAUAUUGGUUGUACCAAUAGAGGGUAAAACUAGCGAUUGGGAUUAAGUCGUAACAAGGU
rnacentral:rRNA from 1 species